rnacentral:rRNA from 1 species
UACGUAGGGGGCAAGCGUUGUCCGGAAUCAUUGGGCGUAAAGCGCGUGUAGGCGGUCCGAUUAGUCUGCUGUGAAAGUCAGGGGCUCAACCCUUGAAUGCCGGUGGAUACUGUCGGGCUAGAGUGCGGAAGAGGCGAGUGGAAUUCCUGGUGUAGCGGUGAAAUGCGCAGAUAUCAGGAGGAACACCAAUUGCGAAGGCAGCUCGCUGGGACGUUACUGACGCUGAGGCGCGGAAA